rnacentral:lncRNA from 1 species
CAGGAAAACACUGGGUGCAGACCGUGCAGGCCUUCGCUGUGUCUUGCCCUGGAGACCAAAGCAUCAUAUUGACACUGAAAUCUGAAGUUGGCUAGUGCCUUUUCUUAGGGGCCUGGCAGCGCCACGGGGACAAGGGUUCCUUACCCUUUCUGGGCCUCGGUUUCCUCAUCUGUGAAAGGAUAGUGUGAGGGCCUUCAGAGGAACAUGGCACAUUACAGAGAAAUGAGGGGGCAGGGGGCAGCGUGCACCCUGAACAGGCAGAGCCUGGGCCAAGCCGAGGGAAGAUCAGCUGAUGUGAGCCAGGCCUCCACACACAUCACUUCCAGGAUCUCCUGUGAGGCCCGGAGUACUGCCAAGGUGAUGACGGAUGUGCCUCCUCCUGGGUCAGCUUCAGGUGAAGUCAUCCGUUCCCUCUGCACUCCAUCAGGACCUGUU